rnacentral:rRNA from 1 species
GAUGAACGCUGGCGGCGUGCCAAUACAUGCAAGUCGAGCGAACAGACGAGGAGCUUGCUCCUCUGACGUUAGCGGCGGACGGGUGAGUAACACGUGGAUAACCUACCUAUAAGACUGGGAUAACUUCGGGAAACCGGAGCUAAUACCGGAUAACAUGUUGAACCGCAUGGUUCAACAGUGAAAGACGGUCUUGCUGUCACUUAUAGAUGGAUCCGCGCCGCAUUAGCUAGUUGGUAAGGUAACGGCUUACCAAGGCAACGAUGCGUAGCCGACCUGAGAGGGUGAUCGGCCACACUGGAACUGAGACACGGUCCAGACUCCUACGGGAGGCAGCAGUAGGGAAUCUUCCGCAAAGGGCGAAAGCCUGACGGAGCAACGCCGCGUGAGUGAAGAAGGUCUUCGGAUCGUAAAACUCUGUUAUUAGGGAAGAACAAAUGUGUAAGUAACUAUGCACGUCUUGACGGUACCUAAUCAGAAAGCCACGGCUAACUACGUG